rnacentral:rRNA from 1 species
UACAGAGGUCUCAAGCGUUGUUCGGAUUCAUUGGGCGUAAAGGGUGCGUAGGCGGCGCGGUGAGUCGGGUGUGAAAUCUCGGAGCUUAACUCCGAAACUGCAUUUGAUACUGCGGUGCUUGAGGACUGGAGAGGAGACUGGAAUUCACGGUGUAGCAGUGAAAUGCGUAGAUAUCGUGAGGAAGACCAGUGGCGAAGGCGGGUCUCUGGACAGUUCCUGACACUGAGGCACGAAGGCCAGGGGAGCAAACGGG